rnacentral:lncRNA from 1 species
AUGUCCUUGCACCCGCUUCCUCACGUGCACAUCCUCUUUCCCUCCCUGCUCAUUUCUGCACAUAUCCCGCUUCCCUCCCUCUUCCUCUCCUCCCUCUUACUCUCUCCUCUCUUCCUUUCUUUCUCUCCCCUCACACUUUUACUUUAUUUCCCCCUUGUUUCCCAUCCCCUUGUCUUUCUCCCUCUGUCUCAACAAUUCUCUCAUUCAUUCUCUUUGCUCUGUCCCUUUCAUUGUUUCUCCACCCUCAUCUCUCUCACCCUCUCUUUCUUUCUCUCAUGUGUGCACUCACUCCUCAUCACACACGAUCAUGCCCUUCGCACGCUUGCACUCUGUAUUGUGCCCUCGUGCCCAUCCUUUCUUGUGCCUGCUUUUUCUUGGGGGAGUUUUCUCUUAUUCUUUCUUGAGAGCUCUCUUGGAGGCCCUUUCUCUCUCUGCCUGUCCCUAACCCCCAGCUCUUGCUCACUCACUUUUUCUCCCAUGUGCAUCUGUGCUCUCCCACACACAACAAUGCACUUUGUGUGCUCAUUCCCUUUCUCACAACCUCACUCCCUUUCUUGUGCUCUUAAACCUCUCCUCACACCCUUUCUGGCAACCCCAGUUCUUGAGACCUCACCCCCUUUCUUGGCAGCUUGCACCCUUUCAUCCUUUCUAUCUCUUACGUCCCUACAUGCCGUUUUUCCCAUGCUGCUCUCUCACACUCUCUCUCACACUUUCUCCCUUGUUCUUUCUCCCUCAUUCUCUUCUUUUCUUCCCCACUCACUUUUUCUGGAUGAUGGCAUGCUCUUUGCAAAGCCCACUCCUUUUCUCACGCCCUUGCUCUCUUUCUUAUGCCCAGUAUCUGUCACACUCACACUUUCUUUCCUGCAACUUUGUGCUUGUUCUCUCUCAUCCCCUUGUACUUGCUUUCUUUCUCAUGCCAUCUCUCUUCUCAUCAUUCUCUUUCCUGUGCCAUCUCGCUCUUCCACAAACACUUUCUGGUGUGCUCUUUCCCACAUGCUUUCACUUGCAUGCACAUGCUCCUUUUCUCACAUGCUCAAGCACUAG